rnacentral:rRNA from 1 species
UACGUAGGGUGCAAGCGUUGUCCGGAAUUAUUGGGCGUAAAGAGCUCGUAGGCGGUCUGUCGCGUCUGCUGUGAAAACUCAGGGCUUAACCCUGUGCUUGCAGUGGGUACGGGCAGACUAGAGUGCGGUAGGGGAGACUGGAAUUCCUGGUGUAGCGGUGAAAUGCGCAGAUAUCAGGAGGAACACCGGUGGCGAAGGCGGGUCUCUGGGCCGUAACUGACGCUGAGGAGCGAAAGCAUGGGGAGCGAACAGG